GCCUGUAGCUCAGUUGGUAGAGCAGCUGACUCUUAAUCAGCGGGUCUGGGGUUCGAAUCCCC
rnacentral:tRNA from 1 species